rnacentral:rRNA from 1 species
GACGAACGCUGGCGGCGUGCCAAAUACAUGCAAGUCGAGCGAAUCAAAGGGAGCUUGCUCCCUGAGGUUAGCGGCGGACGGGUGAGUAACACGUGGGCAACCUGCCUAUAAGACUGGGAUAACUUCGGGAAACCGGAGCUAAUACCGGAUAAUUCAUAUCUACUCAUGUAGGUAUGCUGAAAGACGGUUUACGCUGUCACUUAUAGAUGGGCCCGCGGCGCAUUAGCUAGUUGGUGAGGUAACGGCUCACCAAGGCGACGAUGCGUAGCCGACCUGAGAGGGUGAUCGGCCACACUGGGACUGAGACACGGCCCAGACUCCUACGGGAGGCAGCAGUAGGGAAUCUUCCGCAAUGGACGAAAGUCUGACGGAGCAACGCCGCGUGAGUGACGAAGGUUUUCGGAUCGUAAAACUCUGUUGUUAGGGAAGAACAAGUACUAGAGUAACUGCUAGUACCUUGACGGUACCUAACCAGAAAGCCACGGCUAACUACGUGCCAGCCGCCGCCGUAA